rnacentral:lncRNA from 1 species
UGGAUGGUAGAGCACUCAUUGGGUCAUCGUACUUGUUAUUACUUGUCAGGACUAGGGAACAAACGGGUUCCUGGCACAGUUGGUUUACUUGGUUGUUUAGUGAAUCCAGAGAUUGAGGGUUCGAACCUUCCUCUCCGCAGUAUUAUCCCCUAGGCUAUGAUGAAAUUGCUCUUGUGGCAACACACACAUGGGUCGCCGCGUACAUCUGACCUCCAGAUGAUUCGAGCAAACUGAGCUUGUUUUUUUUAAUAAUUGUUUUGCCAUUAUUUUGCUUCCUUUUUCUUCAUGAGAUUAGGCCACUGAUUUAGUUACUAGCAUGGAAUGUCUGGACUGCAGAGUUUAGUUGCUUUUGGUUUCGUAAUCCACUAAAAAGACAGACUCGGAACUUCACUCGUUGCCAUCACUCUAAAAUCUUAUUUUAUAUUUAUACCGUAAGCACAAAACGGUUACCGUGUGUAUACGCUCCUUUUGUGUGGUAGGUCGAUGAUUGAGUUCAGGAUCAUGGUCUUCGCUCUACAUACGUGACAAAUCUCUCUCAUUUUUUUUUGAUAAAGGACGUGACAAGUCCCAUGGUGCGCCUCUAAGCACAAUAGGAUAAUUAUUUCGAUACAUAUAUCAUGUAGUACUAAUACAUGUAUAAAAACAAGAAUACUUCAUCCAUAUACCGUAAUCUUAGUUACUUCAUCCAUAUACCGUAAGCACAAAACGGUUACCGUGUGUAUACGCUCCUUUUGUGUGGUAGGUGUCGUCGUCGCCCUCCGAUGCCGCCGCCGCCGCCGCGGUGGGCUGCCGGGAUGAUGAGAUCGCGCUGCAGCUGCUGGAGCUUCGGAGGCUCCUGGACGCGCAAAGAGCUUCCAGGGGAGGAGCGCCGAGGGGGAGGGCGGCGGCAGCGGGCCUCGGAGGGUGGCGCUGGUCGGGAUGGGACCUGGGGACCCCGAGCUGCUCACGCUCAAGGCUGUCCGUGCCAUUGAGGCCGCGGACCUGGUGCUCUACGACUGGCUGGUGUCCAACGACAUGCUGGACUUGGUCGGGAGGGCGCAAGGCUUCUAUACGUCGGCAAGACGGCGGGAUACCACAGCCGCACACAGGUGAGUAAUGCGGGACCGUCGAUUCAAUUGCGAUCAAUUGAUACACGCUGUUAGAAAUGCUAAUUGGGUGUGCAUUCGGCAAUUAACAUUUAAAGUACAUUAUUAUUAUUUUAACAAUGCAUCAGAUAGCUUUUUUGGUUGUGUAUUCCUGGCUUGGUUUUCUUAGUCGGUUCUUGGAUUUCGACCCGGCGGCAUUGGCUAAUCCGCCCUUGGCAAUGUUUUUCUACUAGUCCUCUUUUUAUGAACAGAUUUCUGGGGCUUAGCUUGCGCCCCCUCCUUUGAUUGCUUAAUUGUUCGUUUGCUCCGUUGUGUAGCCGAUUUGUUUCUCCUGCUGGUUCGGUCUGUCUCUGCGGGAUAUUUACAUAUUUGGUUCGGUUUCAUGGUUCUUGAAUCUCAUUUCCUCUCGUAUCUAAUACGCUCACCCUCCGCAGCAAGCAUCAAGAGAUUCAAGAACCAUGAAACCGACCAAAGAUCGCAUUUUCCCCAAGCAAGCAAAGGAGAAGGGUGAAGGACGUACCACGGGAUUCUUAUCGUUGAGGAGGGCGGGAUUCUCCAGCAGCUUCCUCUGGACGCCGGCGAGGUCGCCCGCGCGCGUGAGGCCGUGGAUGGUCUCGGCCUUGGCCAACCGCGGCCUCGGGCCCCGUUCUGGCUCCCCGGCAUCUCCUCCCUCCCCCUCUUUCUUUCGGAGCUCCACCUCCGUGUGUGCGCGCCCGCGUGAGCGCUCUCCGUGUGUGUGAGGAGGAGCUGUCGGGGAGGAGGAAGAAGAAGGGAGGCGACGGCGAGGCCGUGAAAGAGGACGUGCCGACGGGGAGAUGGAUGGCGUCGGGUCUGUCAGCGGGAGGUUAACGGAGGAGAAAGGCGAGGGCACACAGGUCUUUUGGCACCCCUUUUACACGCUGUCGCGGGGACGUGGCGUGCCACGUCAGCAAAAGUGGCAAAUCUAUUGCUUCGUUUCGUUCGUGAUGGUAAAAACGUACAAGCUCCCGUAAAAGUGGCAAAUGAAGGAGUGCCAUUUGCAACAGUGGCAAAUAUGUAAAUAUCCCCUCCAAAGGAAUACCUGCGACUUGUAUAAUAAUGUGAAACGGGGUUUGGUGCAUAUGUCUUACUACUAUAGUACUCAUCCUGUUCCAAAUUGUAAGUUAUUUUGGUUUUUUAGAUUCAUAGAUAUUAUUAUACAUCUAAACAUACACUAUAUCGAGCAUUGUAAAAACUAUGCAUCUAGAAAAACUAAAGCGACUUUCAAUUUGAUGACCUGCAAUUUGGAAUGGAGUAUGCAUCUAGAAAAACUAAAGCGACUUUCAAUUUGAUGACCUGCAAUUUGGAAUGGAGGAAGUGCUAAUAUAAAAUUCAAAGUUAUGCCCCUUAUGCCACAACUUUAAUUCAUUAUUGAUGGAGGAAGCACUCAUUCGGUCAUAGUACUUCCUAUUACUUAUUAGGACCAAGGAACUAUCGGGGUCUUGGCACAGUUGGUUUACGUGGCUGUUUAGUGAAUCCCAGAGAUUGGGGGUUCGAACCUUUCUCAUCGCAGUAUAUUAUCCCCCAGGCUAUGACGAACUGCUCUUGUGGCAACACAUGGGUCGCCGCGUACAUCUGACCUCCAGAUGAUUCGAGCAAACUGAGCUGUUUUUUGCCAUUAUUUUGCUUCCUUUUUCUUUAUGAGAUUAUGCCACAGAUUUUAUGGAAUGUCU